rnacentral:rRNA from 1 species
GGGGAAUCUUCCGCAAUGGGCGCAAGCCUGACGGAGCGACGCCGCGUGCAGGAUGAAGGCCCUUGGGUUGUAAACUGCUGUCAGAGGGGAUGAAAUCAUUGGGGGUUCUCCCCCUUUGUUGACAGAGCCUCAAAGGAAGCACGGGCUAAGUACGUGCCAGCAGCCGCGGUAACACGUACUGUGCGAACGUUAUUCGGAAUCACUGGGCUUAAAGGGUGCGUAGGCGGCUUUGCAAGUCAGAUGUGAAAUGCCACAGCUCAACUGUGGCACUGCGUUUGAAACUGCAUGGCUUGAGUAUUCCAGGGGUGAGCGGAACUGCCAGUGGAGCGGUGAAAUGUGUUGAUAUUGGCAGGAACACCGGUGGCGAAAGCGGCUCACUGGGGAAUUUUCCGCAAAGGGAUUAGAUACCCCUGUAGUCAA